GCCUGGGUGGCACAGUGGUUGAGCGUCUGCCUUUGGCUCAGGGCGUGAUCCCGGCGUUGUGGGAUCAAGCCCCACAUCAGGCU
rnacentral:tRNA from 1 species